rnacentral:lncRNA from 1 species
CAAGUUAAGCGGUAAUAGACAAGGCAUAACGAAUAAAAUACAAGAAAAGCCAAGAAUUGAUUUAAGCCGAACAUUAGUCAAUAAAGCGACCGUGCUAGAACCACGGGACUCGAGGGGUGCCUUAUACCUUCCUAUCGAUCAACAGAAUUCCUUACUCAGUCUUCUGUUUCGUAGAUCAUAACUAAGAGUCAAACCUUCCUUU